GACGAACGCUGGCGGCGUGCUUAACACAUGCAAGUCGAGCGGUAAGGCCCUUUCGGGGGUACACGAGCGGCGAACGGGUGAGUAACACGUGGGUGACCUGCCCUCAGCUCUGGGAUAAGCCUGGGAAACCGGGUCUAAUACCGGAUAUGACUCCAUGACGCAUGUUGUGGGGUGGAAAGCCUUGUGCGGCUGAGGAUGGGCCCGCGGCCUAUCAGCUUGUUGGUGGGGUGAUGGCCUACCAAGGCGACGACGGGUAGCCGGCCUGAGAGGGCGACCGGCCACACUGGGACUGAGACACGGCCCAGACUCCUACGGGAGGCAGCAGUGGGGAACCUUGCGCAAUGGGCGAAAGCCUGACGCAGCGACGCCGCGUGA
rnacentral:rRNA from 1 species